rnacentral:sRNA from 1 species
CUUGGUCAUUUAGAGGAAGUAAAAGUCGUAACAAGGUCUCCGUAGGUGAACCUGCGGAGGGAUCAUUACCGAGUUAGGGUCUCACCGGCCCGAUCUCCCAACCCUUUGUCUACUUGACCAUCGUUGCUUCGGCGAGCCCGUCCUCACGGACCGCCGGGGGGUCUUCGCACCCCUUGGCCCGCGCACGUCGAUAGCCCCCAAAAUUAAAAAUCUUAACUAAACGUGUCUUGAAUCUAAGUAUUAUUGUUAAAUAAAAACAAAACUUUCAACAACGGAUCUCUUGGUUCUGGCAUCGAUGAAGAACGCAGCGAAAUGCGAUAAGUAAUGCGAAUUGCAGAAUUCCAGUGAGUCAUCGAAUCUUUGAACGCACAUUGCGCCCUUUGGUAUUCCGAAGGGCAUGCCUGUUCGAGCGUCAUUAUCACCCCUCAAGCCCUCGGCUUGGUGUUGGACGGUUUGGUGGAGACCCCCUUCGCGGGCUUCUACCCCUCCCAAAGACAAUGACGGCGGCCUCGUUGGACCCCCGGUACACUGAGUUCUUCACGGGACGCGUAUCGGACACAUGGGUUUACGGGACACGGUCUGCCUCCCCUCAGGGAGAAUCUUUUUUAUCAAGGUUGACCUCGGAUCAGGUAGGGAUACCCGCUGAACUUAAGCAUAUCAAUAAGCGGAGGAAAAGAAACCAACAGGGAUUGCCUCAGUAACGGCGAGUGAAGCGGCAACAGCUCAAAUUUGAAAUCUGGCCUCUUUGGGGUCCGAGUUGUAAUUUGUAGAGGAUGUUUCGGGUACCGCCUCGGUUUAAAUUUCUUGGAACAGAAUGUCAGAGAGGGUGAGAAUCCCGUCUUGGACCGGUGGUAGGGCCCAUGUGAAACUCCUUCGACGAGUCGAGUUGUUUGGGAAU